AACACCUCCCUCGGUAAAACAGAGAUGGAGAGGAAGGAAUUUUCCUUCCUUCCCCUUGAAGGCAGCCCAGCUCUUCCUCUUCGGUUCCUCUCACACGCAUCCUUUCCUUCCUCUCUCGUCCCCUCCCUGGUGCUCCGCCGCCGCCUUCUUUCUCCACCAAAUCUACCCCGUCCCAUCGUCCUCAUCCACGGCCAUCGAGUGAAGGAGCCUGAGCAGGUGAGGGGGUGGCUCUGGGAGUCGAUGGUGUCUCCAGAGCGGUCGAGAGGCGUUGGGUCGAAGGCGUCGUGCCUCGGUGGCCGGGAUUGGGCAAGUCAGAUGGGAAGCAACGAUGCCGGAAAUUGUUCGCUGCGCCUCCACCUUGUCCCUGGCCCUUCUACGAGCACUUUCUCAUGUCCACGGGAGCCCCCUUUCCACCGAGCUCCAGAUCCAUGACACUAGCAGCGAGGUGAGCAGCGGCAAAGGCUACCACCUAGCAACUCCUCUUUCCUCCUCUUUCAUCCUCUCCAACCCGUCUGGAGGAUACAGUUGAUGAUGUAGUUGAAGAUGAAUGGUUCUUACUAAGAUACAUCUGUAUAUGUAUGUGGUUUCUUUGCUUCGGUUGGAGAUAUAUGUGUGGCUUAAAGAUAUAUCUGAAGUUAAAUUUCCAAGACAUACCAUCCGUCAGUGAUUAUGUAUUAAUGAUUGUUGGGAACUCCUAUCUUACUGACGACGCCCCUUGUAGGUAUAUGUUUCCUUCCAUCCCUUUGCAAGAUUGGCUUAUAAAGUAUGGAGUAUUGAUGAAUAUCAAUUGAUAGUCACUGGGAUGUGAAAUUACAACGAUGUCAGUAUGUAUAAGAUUUCUCAAUUCCACUUUAUCUCGAGGAACCGCGAGAAAUGUAGUGUACAAAUGAGUUCAUGGCUUUGCAAGGCAUAUAAAUUUUAGGUGUGCAAUCUUUUCACUUAGUGUAUGUUGUUCCCGUAUGUAGACUUCCUUUUUGAUGAUAUUCACAAAUAUGUUGAACAUGGUUGGAAGUGAACAAAUUCUUGUGGAAUAUGAAUAUAAAGUUUUGCCUGCUUUUUUUGGAUUUUUUUUUCCUAAAUGAAGUUUGUCAAGUGUGAAAA